rnacentral:rRNA from 1 species
UACGUAGGGUGCAAGCGUUAAUCGGAAUUACUGGGCGUAAAACGUGCGCAGGCGGCUUUGCAAGACAGAUGUGAAAUCCCCGGGCUUAACCUGGGAACUGCAUUUGUGACUGCAUGGCUAGAGUGCGGCAGGAGGGGGAUGGAAUUCCGCGUGUAGCAGUGAAAUGCGUAGAUAUGCGGAGGAACACCGAUGGCGAAGGCAAUCCCCUGGGCCUGCACUGACGCUCAUGCACGAAAGCCGUGGGGGAGCAAACA